rnacentral:rRNA from 1 species
GAUGAACGCUGGCGGCGUGCCUAAUACAUGCAAGUCGAGCGAACAGACGAGGAGCUUGCUCCUCUGACGUUAGCGGCGGACGGGUGAGUAACACGUGGAUAACCUACCUAUAAGACUGGGAUAACUUCGGGAAUCCGGAGCUAAUACCGGAUAAUAUAUUGAACCGCAUGGUUCAAUAGUGAAAGACGGUUUUGCUGUCACUUAUAGAUGGAUCCGCGCCGCAUUAGCUAGUUGGUAAGGUAACGGCUUACCAAGGCGACGAUGCGUAGCCGACCUGAGAGGGUGAUCGGCCACACUGGAACUGAGACACGGUCCAGACUCCUACGGGAGGCAGCAGUAGGGAAUCUUCCGCAAUGGGCGAAAGCCUGACGGAGCAACGCCGCGUGAGUGAUGAAGGUCUUCGGAUCGUAAAACUCUGUUAUUAGGGAAGAACAAAUGUGUAAGUAACUAUGCACGUCGUGACGGUACCUAAUCAGAAAGCCACGGCUAACUACGUG